rnacentral:rRNA from 1 species
CCCUUAGAUGUCCUGGGCCGCACGCGCGCUACACUGAUGCAUUCAACGAGUCCACCUUGGCCGAGAGGCCUGGGCAACCUUUUAAACGUGCAUCGUGAUAGGGAUAGAUUAUUGCAAUUAUUAAUCUUGAACGAGGAAUUCCUAGUAAACGCAAAUCAUCAAUUUGCAUUGAUUACGUCCCUGCACUUUGUACACACCGCCCGUCGCACCUACCGAUUGAAUGGUCCGGUGAGGACUCGGGAUUUUUACCAGUUUCCUUCAUUGGGAAUUGGUGAGGAGAACUUGUCCAAACCUUAUCAUUUAGAGGAAGGUGAAGUCGUAACA